AAAUAAGUAAAUUUCCGGAAAGAAAAUAAAAGAUAAAAUUCAUAGAAUAUUAAUAUAAAAAAGUUGGGCUAGUUUUAUACCUGUUAAAAAUGUUCAUGGGAUGCUUACAGGAUGCCAGGCACCCUGUGACAGUUGUGGGGACAGAGAGUGAACAACCCCAGCCAUCCUUGUCCUCAUGGGUUUUACAACUCAGCAGUAACCGAAUAAAGUGAAAUCCUAAGCUCCGCCCCACGAGGGGACCUAACUAUCCCACAAAGUGGCUUGACCAUAAGAAACCUUCACCCACUAGACAACCUUUCUCACCAUUUGUUUUUCUGCUCACAUUUGUUUUCUUUUUUCUUUUUUUUUUUUUUAAUAUGGAAUGCUUCACGAAUUUGCAUGUCAUCCUUGCUCAGGGACCAUGCUAAUCUUCUCUGUAUUGUUCCAAUUUUAGUAUAUGUGCUGCUGAAGAGAGCACUGCUCAUGUUUGUUUUCAAGAACAAGAACUUUGCUCCCACUGAGAACUCUGACUUGAGAUUGCCAUGUUUGGGUGGUAGAUAAUACCAUCUCCUUUCUGAGGUUGUUGUGAAGAUUAAAUGAGUGAGGACACAGCAAGAAGGAGGCUUUCUGCAAGCAAGGAGAGAGUCCUCACCAGGAACCGAAUCUGUCGGCACUUUGAUCUCGGACUUUCAGCCUUCAGAACUGUGAGAAAUAAUGUGUGUUGUUUAAGCCACCCAGUCAACAGUAUUCUGUUAUAGCAGCCUGAGCAAGAUAAAUGCUGACAUAUUUUGGGGCUGAAUCUGGUCCUGUAAUCCUUCAUCAAUAAACAUUUAUUGAACAUC